rnacentral:rRNA from 1 species
GAUGAACGCUAGCGGCAGGCCUAAUACGUGCAAGUCGUGGGGCAGCAUGAGUGUAGCAAUACAUUUGAUGGCGACCGGCAAACGGGUGCGGAACACGUACACAACCUUCCUAUAAGUGGGGAAUAGCCCAGAGAAAUUUGGAUUAAUACCCCGUAACAUAACGAUGUGGCAUCACAUUGUUAUUAUAGCUUCGGCGCUUAUUGAUGGGUGUGCGGCUGAUUAGAUAGUUGGCGGGGUAACGGCCCACCAAGUCUACGAUCAGUAGCUGAUGUGAGAGCAUGAUCAGCCACACGGGCACUGAGACACGGGCCCGACUCCUACGGGAGGCAGCAGUAAGGAAUAUUGGUCAAUGGACGCAAGUCUGAACCAGCCAUGCCGCGUGAAGGAUUAAGGUCCUCUGGAUUGUAAACUUCUUUUAUCUGGGACGAAAAAAGGCUUUUCUAAGUCACUUGACGGUACCAGAUGAAUAAGCACCGGCUAACUCCGUGCCAGCAGCCGCGGUAAUAC